GAUGAACGCUGGCGGCGUGCCUAAUACAUGCAAGUCGAGCGAACAGACGAGGAGCUUGCUCCUCUGACGUUAGCGGCGGACGGGUGAGUAACACGUGGAUAACCUACCUAUAAGACUGGGAUAACUUCGGGAAACCGGAGCUAAUACCGGAUAAUAUAUUGAACCGCAUGGUUCAAUAGUGAAAGACGGUUUUGCGGUCACUUAUAGAUGGAUCCGCGCCGCAUUAGCUAGUUGGUAAGGUAACGGCUUACCAAGGCAACGAAGCGUAGCCGACCUGAGAGGAUGAUAGCCCACCCUAGAACGUGACCGGGGACCAGCCUCCUGCGAGAGGGACCAGUGGGCAAUCUGCCGCAGUAGGCGAGAACAUGGCGCAACGACGCCACGUCAGUGACAGAAAUCUUCGGAUCGUGAAGCUCUGUUAUUAGGUGGGAACAGCUUUGUAAGUAACUGAGCACGUCUUGACGGUACCUAAUCAAGAAGCAACGGCUAACUACGUG
rnacentral:rRNA from 1 species